UGACGUUCGCCAGUGUUUUCGUGCAACGUCGCGUCGGAUUAUCAUUUCAAAUGUGCAUUCCGCGUAAACGGCGUCGCGUGGGACGCGAAUGGAUCGUGUCUCGGGUAAUAGAGAAGUCCCAUUCGAGAGGUCGUUUCGCUGGUUAAUCGAGUCGACCGACACAGUCGACCCGGCUUUAUUGCUCGACCGACGACAAUAAUCGUUCGCCAGUUGCCCUCAGGGCGAGGACGCCACCUCGAAACGAGGUUAAUCGCAAGAAAGUGACCCAUACAGGGCGAAACGUUCCUCCGGCUGCUUCACCCACCAUCUCGUUCCCGACUUCUGGCUAUCAUGUACGAUUCUAUCGCGAUCCAUUUUGCGCCACGAGGCUAAUUAAACGAGGAUUUAUGCGGUUGAAACUCGAGCAAACAUCGUCCAAGGGAUCGUGAAGCCAGUGGCUGCUUCUUUAAACGGAGACCAUCAACGUCAACAGCGUUAACCGGACGGGAAUUUUCGUCGGGACGCCCACGUUCGUUCGCGCCUCCAGCCACAUUCCAGCUCUGACGUAAUAAAUACACGAUUUGUAUAAUUUUGAACGCGACCGUGGACCGGGCUUUUUCCUACGUGCCAUUUGCAUUGUGUCGACACGCAAACACGACGUUCUUGGCCCGUUACGUUAUCCCCGAGGCUGAAGGAAAUCCACUCAGAACGUCUUCAUUCUUGAACAAUAGAAAUCGAGCAAGGAGUUUAUUUAAGAAAGCGUUGCAUAGGCUGUCAACGACUUUUGCGAUUGACACGGUGCGUAUGGAAAAUCGCGGGAUUCGUCGGCGAGGAAAUCGAGGAACAGCGAGAGGAAGGAGGCUCGACGAGGGUCCGAGGCCGAGUCGAGAGACGGGACGACGCGACGCGGUGGCAUACCGUCGAAGGCUUCGUUGUUGCCCAUCCCGGGAUUACGUACCUUGGUCGUAGACCUUACUCGAGGCGAGCUCGUGCUCGCAGCUGGUUGCAUAACAUCCGAGGCUCCUCGGUGGCCGCUCAUUGCCGCGCGACCACGAUUCACAGUAAUGCUUUGAGCAUCCCACUUAACUGGAACCGCGACGAAAGGUUACGAGGAUCGCGAUAGAUAGCGGCGUUAUCUGUUUGCAACAACGCUUCUACAAGCAGCGAAGUGAUUUCAGAUAAAAUCCUCCAGAUUCAUGUUAAUCUUAAUGAAGUAAACUGCAGUGUUUACAAAUGAUAAGAAGUUCGAAUGUUUCGAAUGGCAAGGUCUGAUGGUAACAGAAAAAAAAAGUUGUCGAGUGAAAGAUUGCAAAUCAGUGGCUCGUGGCGUGGACAAGUGGAAGCUUAGACUGAUUAAUUCAUGGUUAUAUUUGAAAGUGACGCUUCAGAGUGUUUUUUUGAAGUGCUGAUGAUUGAGAUUUCGACCGUGUGUCAGCAAAAAAUGAAUCGUCGAUUAAUUUAUCUUUUAAAUGCAAUUGCAUUUUUUUUCAACCAAACUUUUUGUUCGAAUCAUUUAGUCUUUCUGACAGUAUGUAUUUCAGUUCGAAAAAAAUCAGAAUCUAUUAUUUAAAAGCAAACAACAAGGUCAUUUAUUUAAAUAAUUUCGAAACAGAAUACUAUUAUGUACACAAGAUAUUAUAAAUAAA